rnacentral:misc_RNA from 1 species
GUGAAUCAUCGAAUCUUUGAACGCAAAUUGCACUCUCUUGUGUUCGUAUGCGUAUGUGUGUUUCAGCCUCAAAAAAAUCCACAAAGUCACUGUUUUCGCGGUGAUAUUCGUCGGAAAUUGGGUCAUCUUAAACCAUUGGGUUUUAAGCGGCUUACAAUUUUCUUUACGAUUCCACGAACGCUUCUAAGAUAGUUACUUCUUACACGAUUAACUUAUCGAUCUUUUUUAGACGGUGCCGUUGGAUAGGAUCAC